GACGAACGCUGGCGGCGUGCCUAAUACAUGCAAGUAGAACGCAGUUGCGAACGGGUGAGUAACGCGUAGGUAACUGCCUCAUAGCGGGGGAUAACUAUUGGAAACGAUAGCUAAUACCGCAUACUGUGAGAUGGACCUGCGUUGUAUUAGCUAGUUGGUGAGGUAAAGGCUCACCAAGGCGACGAUACAUACCCUGCCUGAGAGGGUGGUCGGGCAAACUGGGCAUGAGAAACGGCCCAGACUCCUACGGGAGGCAGCAGUAGGGAAUCUUCGGCAAUGGGCGGAAGUCUGACCGAGCAAAGGCGCGUGAGUGAAGAAGGGUAUCGGGUCGUAAAGCUCUGUUGUUAGAGAAGCGGUAACUAAAGAGAAAGGGACGGCUAACUACGUGCCAGCCGCCGCGGUAAUAC
rnacentral:rRNA from 1 species